rnacentral:rRNA from 1 species
UACGUAGGGGGCUAGCGUUGUCCGGAAUCAUUGGGCGUAAAGCGCGUGUAGGCGGUCCGGUAAGUCUGCUGUGAAAGUCGGGGGCUCAACCCUCGAAUGCCGGUGGAUACUGUCGGGCUAGAGUGCGGAAGAGGCGAGUGGAAUUCCCGGUGUAGCGGUGAAAUGCGCAGAUAUCGGGAAGAACACCCGUGGGUAAGGCGGCUCUCUAGUACGGUACUGACGCUGAGACGCGAAAGCGUGGGGAGCGAACAGG